GGGAAAAGAAAGAAUCCACAAGCAGAAUUUUAUUUAUCCAUUUGAGAUGGAGAGAGUGUGUGCAUGAUUGGGGCGAGGGGGUAGAGGGAGUGGUAAAAGGGUUCCCCACUGAGCACAGAGCCCAACAAAGGAUUUGAUCUCAGAACCCUGAGAUCAUGACCUGAGCCAAAAUCAAGAGCCAGCCACUCAAACCGACUGAGCCACCCAGGCGCAGUGAAAGUGACAAAAUUCAAAAGGCUAAAAGGGUAUACAAUCUUAAAUACUUUAAAGUAUAUUUAACUUAGUCUAGUCGACCCUGACCAUUUACAUGUGAGGUGUGACAGAAGAGGAAACUGAGACAUAAGGAGCUGGUGUCCAAUUGAAAGCCACCGAUCAAUGAAGAAACCAGGCACUUUAUCCAGACCCCAUUCAGAACAGGUUUGAGUCACAGGCACUUGAGACAGCACUUGCUUCUUCCUGGACAAGAAUUACACCUUGGCUCUGACGUCUCUGUUUCAAAGAACACUUCCUAACUUCUAUUUCUAACAAAAAUGUAAAGUAACAACACCUAGUAGAGCUGGACUUAUUGAUAUCUAAUUAAAAUGUGAACGAGUACAGAUA